rnacentral:tRNA from 1 species
GGACCAGUAGCUCAGUCGGUCAGAGCAAGGGACUCAUAAUCCCUGGGUCGUGGGUUCAAAUCCCCCCUGGUCCACCA